rnacentral:rRNA from 6 species
GCAUCACUGGUGUUCGGGUUGUCAUGCCAAUGGCACUGCCCGGUAGCUAAAUGCGGAAGAGAUAAGUGCUGAAAGCAUCUAAGCACGAAACUUGCCCCGAGAUGAGUUCUCCCUGAGACUUAGAGUCUCCUGAAGGAACGUUGAAGACGACGACGUUGAUAGGCCGGGUGUGUAAGCGCAGCGAUGCGUUGAGCUAACCGGUACUAAUGAACCGUGAGGCUUAACCUUACAACGCCGAAG